rnacentral:rRNA from 1 species
UACGUAGGGUGCAAGCGUUGUCCGGAUUUAUUGGGCGUAAAGAGCUCGUAGGCGGUCUGUCGCGUCGGAUGUGAAAACCCAGGGCUCAACCCUGGGCCUGCAUUCGGUACGGGCAGACUAGAGUACGGCAGGGGAGACUGGAAUUCCUGGUGUAGCGAUGAAAUGCGCAGAUAUCAGGAGGAACACCGGUGGCGAAGGCGGGUCUCUGGGCCGUAACUGACGCUGAGGAGCGAAAGCGUGGGGAGCGAACAGG